UACGUAGGGUGCGAGCGUUAUUCGGAAUUACUGGGCGUAAAGCGUGCGCAGGCGGUUUUGUAAGUGUGUUGUGAAAUCCCCGGGCUCAACCUGGGAAUUGCGAUGGAGACUGCAAGGCUAGAAUCUGGCAGAGGGGGGUAGAAUUCCACGUGUAGCAGUGAAAUGCGUAGAGAUGUGGAGGAACACCGAUGGCGAAGGCAGCCCCCUGGGUCAAGAUUGACGCUCAUGCACGAAAGCGUGGGGAGCAAACAGG
rnacentral:rRNA from 1 species